rnacentral:rRNA from 1 species
AUCUUCGGCAAUGGACGAAAGUCUGACCGAGCGACGCCGCGUGCGGGAUGAAGGUCUUCGGAUUGUAAACCGCUGUCGAGGGGAAUCAAAUGCUAGGGGGUUCUCCCCCUAGUUUGAGAGAACCCUGGAGGAAGGGGAGGCUAAGCUCGUGCCAGCAGCCGCGGUAGGACGAGCUCCCCAAACGUUAUUCGGUAUCACUGGGCUUAAAGAGUUCGUAGGCGGCGAAGUAGGUGAGGUGUGAAAGCCCUCGGCUCAACCGAGGAACUGCGCUUCAAACCGCUUUGCUUGAGGGAGAUAGGGGUAAGCGGAACAGAUGGUGGAGCGGUGAAAUGCAUUGACAUCAUCUGGAACACCGGUGGCGAAAGCGGCUUACUGGAUCCUUUCUGACGCUGAGGAACGAAAGCUAGGGUAGCGAACGGGAUUAGAUACCCCGGUAGUCCUAGCCGUAAACGAUGAGCACUAGUCUGAGGAACUCUCACAGUUUCUCGGACGUAGCGAAAGUGUUAAGUGCUCCGCCUGGGGAGUAUGGUCGCAAGGCUGAAACUCAAAGGAA